GGUAUGCCCCAGAGUGUCUGAAGGAGUGUAAGUUCUACUAUGCGUCUGACGUCUGGUCCUUUGGGGUCACCCUCUAUGAGCUGCUGACAUACUGUGACUCCAGCCAGAGCCCCCCCUCGAAAUUUAUUGAGCUCAUAGGCCUUACCCAGGGUGAGAUGAUGGUGCUGAAACUCACAAGGCUGCUGGAACGAGGGGAGAGGCUGCCGCGGCCCAACAGAUGUCCCCAGGAGAUCUACCUUCUCAUGAAGAACUGCUGGGAGACAGAGGCUUCCUUCCGGCCGACCUUCCAGAACCUCGUGCCCAUCCUCAAGACGGCCCAGGAGAAGUACCAGGGCCAGGCCCCGUCGGUGUUCAGCGUGUGCUGAGAC